AUGCAUUUCUCCAGCCUCAUACAUGUGCAUUUGAAAACAAAAUGUGUUGGUUUGUUUUUGGUCAUGCGUGUGUAUGCGCAGUCGCUGCAGAAAAGAGCUGGGUUUGUUGCAACAGAGGGAGUUGUGCAAAGCACUGUCCUCCACUAUGAUUUAUUAGAUGAAAUUUCCAUUGUGCGUACCAGCAAAAAUAGUUACACCCAUACAUACAUCAACAGUACAUGUAACCUUUCCGCGAACGAGCCGGAACUAGACGCUAAUGAAACUGAGCAGCUUGUAGAGCAUUUGCCUUCUCGGCAGCCACUGAAGCAUCCGCACCUCUGCCCUCCACUGCGUAUGCUUUCUCCUGCAAAAAACAUGAAACAAAGAUUUUACCUCAUAGUUUCACAGUUAAGUGAGUUUACAUAUGGGAUACAUAAAAGAAUCUUCUCAUGUCUAAUGAUCGCAACUUAA
rnacentral:rRNA from 1 species